rnacentral:rRNA from 1 species
UACAGAGGGGGCAAGCGUUGUUCGGAAUUAUUGGGCGUAAAGAGCUCGUAGGCGGUCUGUUGCGUCUGCUGUGAAAACCCGGGGCUUAACCCCUGGCUUGCAGUGGAUACGGACAGACUAGAGGUAGGUAGGGGAGAAUGGAAUUCCCGGUGUAGCGGUGAAAUGCGCAGAUAUCGGGAGGAACACCGGUGGCGAAGGCGGUUCUCUGGGCCUUACCUGACGCUGAGGAGCGAAAGCGUGGGGAGCGAACAGG